rnacentral:misc_RNA from 1 species
UCAAACUUGGUCAUUUAGAGGAAGUAAAAGUCGUAACAAGGUUUCCGUAGGUGAACCUGCGGAAGGAUCAUUACAAAUCCAUCGCGUCUCUCUCACCGAGACAACGUCUAACUGUUCCGAGCGUGAAGGCUUCGUUGUCGCCGGUGGCCUUGCGCCAGCGCGCGACGCGUGCCCGAUCGCCGUACUACACCCCCUUCUAAGCUGACGACCUGUUGCUUCAUAUGUAUGCUUCUAGCGCAUCAACGCAAGAAACAACUUAUAACAAUGGAUCUCUAGGCUCUUGCAUCGAUGAAGAACGCAGC